GGUGGUUCUCGGGUGACACAUUCCAGAAUUGGGCUUCCUCCUUUCUGGUUCCAGGUGCAUCACCCAAGAACCACA
rfam:Myotis davidii contig99121, whole genome shotgun sequence.